CUUUACUGCAGUUUAAUAUUGGGUAUCUGUCAAGCAUGUACAGGAUAGGUAGGAGCCGGAGAAGAUAGGACGCCAGUCUUAUCAGAGGCGCUGUUGGGAUACUACCCUUGCUUGACGGAUGCUCUAACUCAGGCCUGUGAUCCAGGCCGAGGACAGUGUUUGACGGGCAGUUUGACUGGGGCGGUCGCCUCCUAAAGUGUAACGGAGGCGCCC
rnacentral:rRNA from 1 species